CACGGGGGGAGCAAGCGUUGUUCGGAAUCACUGGGCGUAAAGGGCGUGUAGGCGGUCGAGUAAGUGGAAUGUGAAAUACUCCGGCUCACCCGGAGCACUGCAUCCCAAACUGCUCGGCUUGAGUAUGGGAGAGGACAAGGGAAUUCCUGGUGUAGCGGUGAAAUGCGCAGAUAUCAGGAAGAACACCCGUGGCGAAGGCGGCUCUCUGGGACGGUACUGACGCUGAGACGCGAAAGCGUGGGGAGCGAACAGG
rnacentral:rRNA from 1 species